GUGUCAGCCGCCGCGGUAAUACGGAAGGUGCUAACGUUAUCCGGAUUUACUGGGCGUAAAGCGUGCGUAGGCGGCUGUGUAAGCCAGUCGUGAAAUUUCUCGACUCAAUCGGGAAAAGCCGAUUGGAACUGCACAGCUAGAGUGCGGGAGAGGUGAGUGGAAUUCCCGGUGUAGCGGUGAAAUGCGUAGAUAUCGGGAAGAACACCAGUGGCGAAGGCGGCUCACUGGACCGCAACUGACGCUGAGGCACGAAAGCGUGGGGAGCGAACGGGAUUAGAUACCCCGGUAGUCCACGCUGUAAACGAUGAGUGCUAGGUGUGGGGGAUGAAGAAUUCCUCCGUGCCGCAGCUAACGCAUUAAGCACUCCGCCUGGGGAGUACGGCCGCAAGGUUAAAACUUAAAGGAAUUGGCGGGG
rnacentral:rRNA from 1 species